UACGUAGGGGGCUAGCGUUGUCCGGAAUCAUUGGGCGUAAAGCGCGUGUAGGCGGCCCGGUAAGUCCGCUGUGAAAGUCGGGGGCUCAACCCUCGGAUGCCGGUGGAUACUGUCGGGCUCGAGUACGGAAGGGGCGAGUGGAAUUCCUGGUGUAGCGGUGAAAUGCGCAGAUAUCAGGAGGAACACCUAUUGCGAAGGCAGCUCGCUGGGACGUCACUGACGCUGAGACGCGAAAGCGUGGGGAGCAAACAGG
rnacentral:rRNA from 1 species